rnacentral:rRNA from 1 species
GACAGGGGAUGCAAGCGUUAUCCGGAAUGAUUGGGCGUAAAGCGUCUGUAGGUGGCUUUUUAAGUCUGCCGUCAAAUCCCAGGGCUCAACCCUGGCCAGGCGGUGGAGACUACUAAGCUGGAGUACGGUAGGGGCAGAGGGAAUUUCCGGUGGAGCGGUGAAAUGCGUAGAUAUCGGAAAGAACACCUGUGGCGAAGGCGGUUACCUGGAGCUUUGCUGACGCUGAUGCGCGAAAGCGUGGGGAGCGAUCCGG